rnacentral:rRNA from 1 species
GCAGUGGGGAAUAUUGGGCAAUGGAGGAAACUCUGACCCAGCGACGCCGCGUGCGGGAUGAAGGCCUUCGGGUUGUAAACCGCUUUCAGCAGGGAAUAAGCGCAAGUGAAGGUACCUGCAGAAGAAGCACCGGCUAACUAUGUGCCAGCAGCCGCGGUAAUACAUAGGGUGCAAGCGUUGUCCGGAAUUAUUGGGCGUAAAGAGCUCGUAGGUGGUUUGUUACGUCGGUUGUGAAAUUCAGGGGCUCAACCCCUGACUUGCAGCCGAUACGGGCAAGCUAGAGUUUGGUAGGGGAGACUGGAAUUCCUGGUGUAGCGGUGGAAUGCGCAGAUAUCAGGAGGAACACCGAUGGCGAAGGCAGGUCUCUGGGCCAAUACUGACACUGAGGAGCGAAAGCGUGGGGAGCGAA